AUUGAACGCUGGCGGCAGGCCUAACACAUGCAAGUCGAGCGAGCGGCGGACGUGUGAGUAAUGUAUGGGGCUCUGCCCGAUGGAGGGGGAUAACUACUGGAAACGGUAGCUAAACCCGCAUACUAUCAGUUGAACCCAUAUGGGAUUAGUUUGUAGGGAGGGUAACGGCUCAUCAUGGCGACGACCCCUAGCUGGUCUGAGAGGAUGAUCAGCCACACUGGAACUGGGACACGGCCCAGACUCCUACGGAAGGAAGCAGUGGGGAAUAUUGCACAAGGGGCGCAAGCCUGAUACAGCCAUGCCGCGUGUAUGAAGAAGGCCUUCGGGUUGUAAAGUACGUUCAGAGGGGAGGCGUUACCGACAGAAGAAGCACCGGCUAACUCCGUGCCAGCAGCCGCGGUAAUUC
rnacentral:rRNA from 1 species